rnacentral:lncRNA from 1 species
UCUUACAGACACAGUAAUGAUUCAGGAACAGAGUUGAAGAAGGGUUCCUACAGAGAAACUUCAGAGGGGAAGUAACUAUCUUAUGUCUUGAAAGUACUCUAUUUUCUUGUUCCAGCCUCAUGCAACCUUUCCUAAGAUUUUCUCUUCUGCUGGUCCAGUUUGGAUGUCAUUCUGUUUCUUACAACCAAUGGCUAAGUGUGAAAUGUCCCCAUUUUAAAGAGUUGGCAAUGGAUCCAAAUGAACUAAACAAAGUAAAAUGAAACACUACGAGAAUCUAAAUGAGGCGGGGAAGGAAACAAAGAAAGGAGGAGGGAAAGACAUCAAAUGCUCGUUCACAUCGUUUAUUCGCCCUUCUGCCUCCGGUUCUGCC